AAUUCGAUUAACGCGAAGAACCUUACCCGGGCUCGAACGGCUGGUGAAGAGAUCCAGAGAUGGUGACGUCCUUCGGGACACCAGUCGAGGUGCUGUAUGGUUGUCGUCAGCUCGUGCCGUGAGGUGUCGGCUCAAGUGGCAUAACGAGCGCAACCCUUGUCGUCAGUUACCAUCAAGUUAGGUUGGGGACUCUGCGAGACUGCCACCGCAAGGUGUGAGGAAGGGGGGGAUGACGUCAAAUCAGCACGGCCCUUACGUCCGGGGCGACACACGUGUUACAAUGGGAGUUACAGAGGGGCACUACCUUGUGAGAGGAUGGGAAUCUCGAAAAGCUCUCUCAGUCCGGAUCGGAGUCUGCAACCCGACUCCGUGAAGCUGGAUUCGCUAGUAAUCGCGCAUCAGCCAUGGCGCGGUGAAUACGUUCCCGGGUCUUGUACACACCG
rnacentral:rRNA from 1 species